rnacentral:rRNA from 1 species
GGGUUGUGAGGUUAAGCGACUAAGCGUACACGGUGGAUGCCCUGGCAGUCAGAGGCGAUGAAGGACGUGCUAAUCUGCGAAAAGCGUCGGUAAGGUGAUAUGAACCGUUAUAGCCGGCGAUGUCCGAAUGGGGAAACCCAGUGCAAUUCGUUGCACUAUCGUUAACUGAAUACAUAGGUUAACGAGGCGAACCGGGGGAACUGAAACAUCUAAGUACCCCGAGGAAAAGAAAUCAACCGAGAUUCCCCCAGUAGCGGCGAGCGAACGGGGAGCAGCCCAGAGUCUGAAUCAGCUUGUGUGUUAGUGGAACGGUCUGGAAAGUCCGACGGUACAGGGUGAUAGUCCCGUACACCAAAAUGCACAGGCUGUGAACUCGAAGAGUAGGGCGGGACACGUGGUAUCCUGUCUGAAUAUGGGGGGACCAUCCUCCAAGGCUAAAUACUCCUGACUGACCGAUAGUGAACCAGUACCGUGAGGGAAAGGCGAAAAGAACCCCGGCGAGGGGAGUGAAAAAGAACCUGAAACCGUGUACGUACAAGCAGUGGGAGCACCUUCGGGUGUGACUGCGUACCUUUUGUAUAAUGGGUCAGCGACUUAUAUUCUGUAGCAAGGUUAACCGUAUAGGGGAGCCGCAGGGAAACCGAGUCUUAACUGGGCGUUAAGUUGCAGGGUAUAGACCCGAAACCCGGUGAUCUAGCCAUGGGCAGGUUGAAGGUUGGGUAACACUAACUGGAGGACCGAACCGACUAAUGUUGAAAAAUUAGCGGAUGACUUGUGGCUGGGGGUGAAAGGCCAAUCAAACCGGGAGAUAGCUGGUUCUCCCCGAAAGCUAUUUAGGUAGCGCCUCGUGAAUUCAUCUUCGGGGGUAGAGCACUGUUUCGGCUAGGGGGUCAUCCCGACUUACCAACCCGAUGCAAACUACGAAUACCGAAGAAUGUUAUCACGGGAGACACACGGCGGGUGCUAACGUCCGUCGUGAAGAGGGAAACAACCCAGACCGCCAGCUAAGGUCCCAAAGUCAUGGUUAAGUGGGAAACGAUGUGGGAAGGCACAGACAGCCAGGAUGUUGGCUUAGAAGCAGCCAUCAUUUAAAGAAAGCGUAAUAGCUCACUGGUCGAGUCGGCCUGCGCGGAAGAUGUAACGGGGCUAAACCAUGCACCGAAGCUGCGGCAGCGACACUAUGUGUUGUUGGGUAGGGGAGCGUUCUGUAAGCCUGCGAAGGUGACCUGUGAGGGUUGCUGGAGGUAUCAGAAGUGCGAAUGCUGACAUAAGUAACGAUAAAGCGGGUGAAAAGCCCGCUCGCCGGAAGACCAAGGGUUCCUGUCCAACGUUAAUCGGGGCAGGGUGAGUCGACCCCUAAGGCGAGGCCGAAAGGCGUAGUCGAUGGGAAACAGGUUAAUAUUCCUGUACUUGGUGUUACUGCGAAGGGGGGACGGAGAAGGCUAUGUUAGCCGGGCGACGGUUGUCCCGGUUUAAGCAUGUAGGCUGAUUGUCCAGGCAAAUCCGGAUAAUCAAGGCUGAGGUGUGAUGACGAGGCACUACGGUGCUGAAGUAACAAAUGCCCUGCUUCCAGGAAAAGCCUCUAAGCAUCAGGUAACAUUAAAUCGUACCCCAAACCGACACAGGUGGUCAGGUAGAGAAUACCAAGGCGCUUGAGAGAACUCGGGUGAAGGAACUAGGCAAAAUGGUGCCGUAACUUCGGGAGAAGGCACGCUGGUGUGUAGGUGAAGUCCCUGCGGAUGGAGCUGAGACCAGUCGAAGAUACCAGCUGGCUGCAACUGUUUAUUAAAAACACAGCACUGUGCAAACACGAAAGUGGACGUAUACGGUGUGACGCCUGCCCGGUGCCGGAAGGUUAAUUGAUGGGGUUAUCCGUAAGGAGAAGCUCUUGAUCGAAGCCCCGGUAAACGGCGGCCGUAACUAUAACGGUCCUAAGGUAGCGAAAUUCCUUGUCGGGUAAGUUCCGACCUGCACGAAUGGCGUAAUGAUGGCCAGGCUGUCUCCACCCGAGACUCAGUGAAAUUGAACUCGCUGUGAAGAUGCAGUGUACCCGCGGCAAGACGGAAAGACCCCGUGAACCUUUACUAUAGCUUGACACUGAACAUUGAGCCUUGAUGUGUAGGAUAGGUGGGAGGCUUUGAAGCGUGGACGCCAGUCUGCGUGGAGCCAACCUUGAAAUACCACCCUUUAAUGUUUGAUGUUCUAACGUUGGCCCCUUACCGGGGUUGCGGACAGUGUCUGGUGGGUAGUUUGACUGGGGCGGUCUCCUCCCAAAGCGUAACGGAGGAGCACGAAGGUUAGCUAAUCCUGGUCGGACAUCAGGAGGUUAGUGCAAUGGCAUAAGCUAGCUUGACUGCGAGCGUGACGGCGCGAGCAGGUGCGAAAGCAGGUCAUAGUGAUCCGGUGGUUCUGAAUGGAAGGGCCAUCGCUCAACGGAUAAAAGGUACUCCGGGGAUAACAGGCUGAUACCGCCCAAGAGUUCAUAUCGACGGCGGUGUUUGGCACCUCGAUGUCGGCUCAUCACAUCCUGGGGCUGAAGUAGGUCCCAAGGGUAUGGCUGUUCGCCAUUUAAAGUGGUACGCGAGCUGGGUUUAGAACGUCGUGAGACAGUUCGGUCCCUAUCUGCCGUGGGCGCUGGAGAAUUGAGGGGGGCUGCUCCUAGUACGAGAGGACCGGAGUGGACGCAUCACUGGUGUUCGGGUUGUCAUGCCAAUGGCACUGCCCGGUAGCUAAAUGCGGAAGAGAUAAGUGCUGAAAGCAUCUAAGCACGAAACUUGCCCCGAGAUGAGUUCUCCCUGAGACUUUAAGUCUCCUGAAGGAACGUUAAAGACGAUGACGUUGAUAGGCCGGGUGUGUAAGCGCAGCGAUGCGUUGAGCUAACCGGUACUAAUGAACCGUGAGGCUUAACCUUACAACGCCGAAG